GGCACAUUAAAUGACAUAGUAUAUAAAAAGAACGUUUACAUACCAAACCAAUACAAUUAGAUUAUAUAUGUGAAACCAAAGUACAUAACAUUCAUAAAUAUUACAAGUCAAUACUAGCUAUCAUCCUUAGCUUCACGUACAUUCAAGAUUCAAAUUUGCAUGUUCCAUAACUUGGAUCGGAGAAGGCGACUACACCAGUACCAGCAAAGUCACAAUUGAAGUUGUUUCGACCUUCCUUUUGAUAGUACGAGUUCAUGGCAAAGGCUGCGUGAGAUCGGAUAGUGUUGGGUUUAAAGCAGGAACCACCCACUUGAAUUGGUGUGCAGUCAACUCCCUGACUGCACACAUAGUUAAUGUUGGAUUGUAGUUGUGCAUCAGUUGCCUCAACCUUUGGCAUGCAGAAUUUUUUGUUCUCUGCUGGUGUUUUUGGUUGACCUUUAUUGCCUCCGCCACCGGUUUUUGGUGGGGGCAAUGAAGGUGUUGGGUGAGCCUGGUUGCUUUUCAAAACUCCGACAUCAUAAACCGGAGUGAAAUCGGGUCGGAACAACCCGAAGUUCCUCUCAGCGAUGGAUCCGGGUUUGGUGUUCUCAUUGAACAAUGAAAAAAUGUAGGUCUCGAUCUUCCUGUGCGGCAUCAAUGGCGUACCGAUCCCGGAAUUAUAUUUCUUCAUCAAUCCACCAUUAUACGAAGCUGCAUUUUCCACAGUACAUUGCGGUUCAUACGCUUCUCCUUGCGAAGGCCACCCUGUCUCAGCAGCAACAAUCUCCACAUCUGAAUGCUUCAAUCUCACCAUCGACAUAUACACCGCAUCCAACAACAUAUCAAAAGAAUUCGUAUACCAUUUCUUCGAAAAUCUAUCGUAAACCCCUUUAUUCUUUCUAAAUAGAAGAAAAUCCUCUUGUUUCUUGUUGUAUCCGAAGUAGGGAUAGGGAUUUACCAUGAAAGGACCUUUUGUUUCACGAAGAAAUUGUAGCAUCGGAGCUAGAAUACCCACAUCCCAACCGGGUCGAAACCGGGCUGCACUGGGUGGGUUAGAACGGAGUAGAAUACCCAACGAAUGAGCUGAAGAGACUUUUAUACCCUUCAACCCAGAUAAACCCAAAGCUUGGUAAAAAACUUUCAUAGCUGGAACAAGCUUGUUCUGUACCUCAGGUGUAUCCCAGUGAAGAACCUCAUUACCCACUAGAAUAACAUCCAUCUUUGUCUGUGGGUAAUGAGGUUUGAUAUUCUGCUCGACGUAUCGUCGAGCAUAGGCGAGAUCCAGUAGAUUCGGGAUCUCGCCGUUUGGUACUGUGACUGUUAGCGAGAUUCCUGUGUUUGCAAAAGCACGGAGGAUGUCAGGGUUGAUAUCGAAAAUCUUUACACGGUCUAUGACCGUUUUAUCCUUGAUGAACUGAGCCACUUGAGCUGGCGGAGGGAGGUUGUUUCCGAGAGUCCCGUAAUUAACACCUAUAGAAGUUACAUCAUGAAGAAAAAGAGCAAUAGCAAUGAGAAAUAGCACAAAAGAAGUUUUGCUUAUCAUGGUUGAUAUGGUUGAUGCAGAGAUAGAUGAUUUAUUUAUAUAUAUGAAGAAGAAUAGUCCAAUUUGAAAUUUG
rnacentral:misc_RNA from 1 species